rnacentral:rRNA from 1 species
CCUACGGGGGGCAGCAGUGAGGAAUAUUGGUCAAUGGACGAGAGUCUGAACCAGCCAAGUCGCGUGAAGGAUGACUGCCCUAUGGGUUGUAAACUUCUUUUAUAAAGGAAUAAAACGAGGCACGUGUGCCUUUUUGCAUGUACUUUAUGAAUAAGGAUCGGCUAACUCCGUGCCAGCAGCCGCGGUAAUACGGAGGGUCCGAGCGUUAUCCGGAUUUAUUGGGUUUAAAGGGGGCGUAGAUGGGUUGUUAAGUCAGUUGUGAAAGUUUGCGGCUCAACCGUAAAAUUGCAAUUGAUACUGGCAGUCGUGAGUACAGUUGAGGUAGGCGGAAUUCGUGGUGUAGCGGUGAAAUGCUUAGAUAUCACGAAGAACCCCGAUUGCGAAGGCAGCUUACUAAACUGUGACUGACAUUGAUGCUCGAAAGUGUGGGUAUCAAACAGGAUUAGAUACCCCAGUAGUC